AAUGAGAUGCCUGAUAAAAGGAUCAUUUUGAUGGAAUGAACAAUGUAAUUUUUUUUUUACUCUCAUUA
rnacentral:tRNA from 1 species